UACGGGGGGAGCAAGCGUUGUUCGGAUUUACUGGGCGUAAAGGGCGCGUAGGCGGUCAGCACAAGUCAGUUGUGAAAUCUCCGGGCUUAACCCGGAAAGGUCAGCCGAUACUGCGGGGCUAGAGUGCAGAAGGGGCAACUGGAAUUCCCGGUGUAGCGGUGAAAUGCGUAGAUAUCGGGAGGAAUACCUAUGGCGAAAGCAGGCUACUGGACCGUCACUGACUCUGAUCUGCGAAAGCUAGGGGAGCAAACAGG
rnacentral:rRNA from 1 species